UCGAGAAUUUUUCGCAAUGGGGGAAACCCUGACGGAGCGACGCCGCGUGGAGGAUGAAGGUCUUCGGAUUGUAAACUCCUGUCAUUUGAGAACAAGUGCUGCUCAAUAACUAUGGGCAGUUUGAUAGUAUCAGAAGAGGAAGAGGCGGCUAACUCUGUGCCAGCAGCCGCGGUAAUACAGAGGCCUCAAGCGUUGUUCGGAUUCAUUGGGCGUAAAGGGAGCGUAGGCGGUAGGGUAAGUCGGGUGUGAAAUCCUGGGGCUCAACCUCAGAACUGCAUUCGAUACUGCUCUGCUUUGAGGUAUGGAGGGGAGAUUGGAAUUCACGGUGUAGCAGUGAAAUGCGUAGAUAUCGUGAGGAAGACCAGUGGCGAAGGCGGAUCUCUGGACAUUACCUGACGCUGAUGCUCGAAGGCCAGGGGAGCAAACGG
rnacentral:rRNA from 1 species